GCCAAGUACAGUGGCGCACGCCUGUAAUCCCAGCAACUCGGGAGGCUGAGACAGGAGGGUCGCAAGUUUAAAGCCAGCCUCAGCAACAGCAAGGUUUUAAGCAACUCAGUGAGACCCUGUCUCUA
rnacentral:sRNA from 1 species